ACGUAAGAGAAGGUAUGCGCGCGGGCUUUUAAUCCGUGGGUCGUCGGUUCGAGCCCGACGGGGCCCA
rnacentral:tRNA from 1 species